AUUGUGUCCCAUAAGUUUGGGUAUGUUAUGGCUUCAUUUUCAUUAAACUCCAAAAAGUCCUUAAUUUCUUUCUUUAUUCCUUCCUUGACCAAGUUAUCAUUGAGAAAAGUUUUGUUCAGUUUCCAAGUGAAUGUUGGCUUUCCGUUAUUUAUAUUGUUUUUGAAAAUCAGCCUUAGUCCAUGGUGAUCUGAUAGGAUGCAUGGGAAAAUAUCAAUAUUUUUGUAUCUGUUGAGUCCUGUUUUGUGACCAAUUAUAUGGUCAGUUUUGGAGAAGGUCCCAUGAGGUGCUCAGAAGCAGGUAUAUCCUUUUGUUUUAGGAUAAAAUGUUCUAUAGAUAUCUGUUAGAUUCAUUUGUUUUAUAAUGUCUGUUAGUUUAAAUGCGUCCCUGUUGAGUUUCUGUCUCCAUGAUCUGUCCAUUGGUGCAAGUGGUGUGUUGAAGUCUCCCAAUAUUAUUGUGUGAGGUACAAUGUAUGCUUUGAGCUUUACUAAAGUUUCUUUAAUUAAUGUGGCUGCCCUUGUAUUUAGAGCAUAGAUAUUCAGAAUUGAUAGUUCCUCUUGGAGGAUUUUACCUUUGAUGAGUAUGAAGUGCCCCUCCUUAUCUUUUUUGAUGACUUUGGGUUGGAAGUCGAUUUUAUUAGAUAUUAGAAUGGCUACUCCAGCUUGUUUCUUCGGAGCAUUUGCUUGGAAAAUUGGUUUCCAGCCUUUUAUUUUGAGGUAGUGUCUAUCUUUUUCUCUGAGAUGAGUUUCCAGUAAGCAGCAGAAUGUUGGGUCCUGUUGUGUAGCCAGUCUGUUAGUCUAUGUCUUUUUAUUGGGGAGUUGAGUCCAUUGAUAUUAAGAGAUAUUAAGGAAAAGUAAUUGUUGCCUCCUAUUAUUUUUGUUGCUAAAGUUGGCAUUCUCUUCUUGUGGCUGUCUUCUUUUAGGUUUGUUGAGGGAUUACCUUCUUCCUUUUUCUAGGACUUGUUUUCAGUCCUUGAAUUGUUUUUUUUGUUGUUGUUGUUUUUUUUUUUUUCUGUUAUUAUCCUUUGAAGGGAUGGAUUCGUGGAGAGAUAAUGGGUGAACUUGGUUUUGUUGUGGAAUACUUUGGUUUCUCCAUCUACGGUAAUUGAGAGUUUGGCUGGGUAUAGAAGCCUGGGCUGGCAUUUGUGUUCUCUUAAUGUCUGUAUUACAUCUGUAUAGGCUCUUCUGGUUUUCAUAGUCUCUGGUGAAAAGUCUGGUGUAGUUCUGAUAGGCUUGCUUUUAUAUGUUACUUGACCUUUUAUCCCUUACUGCUUUUAGUACUCUAUCUUUAUUUAGUGCAUUUGUUGUUCUGAUUAUUAUGUGUCAGGAGGAAUUUUUUUUCUCAUCCAGUGUAUUUGGAGUUCUGUAGGCUUCUUGUAUGUUCAUGGGCAUCUCUUUCUUUAGGUUUGGGAAGUUUUCUUCUAUAAAUUUGUUGAGAUAUUUCCCGGUCCUUUGAGUUGAAAAUCUUCAUCCUCAUCUACUCCUAUUUUUCCUAGGUUUGGUCUUCUCAUUGUGUCCUGGAUUUUCUGGAUGUUUUGAGUUAGGAUCUUUUUGCAUUUUCCAUUUUCUUUGAUUGUUGUGCCGAUGUUCUCUAUGGAAUCUUCUGCACUUGAGAUUCUCUCCUCCAUCUCUUGUAUUCUGUUGUUGAUGCUCGCAUCUAUGGUUCCAGAUUUCUUUCCUAGGUUUUCUAUCUCCAGCGUUGCCUCACUUUGGUUUUUCUUUAUUGAGUCUACUUUUAAGGUCUUGGAUGGUUUUAUUCAAUUCCAUCACCUGUUUGGUUGUGUUUUUCUGCAAUUCUUUAAGGGAUUUUUGUGCUUCCUCUUUAAUGUCUUCUACCUGUUUAGCAGUGUUCUCCUGUAUUUCUUUAAGUGAGUUAUUAAAGUCCUUUCUGAUGUCCUCUACCAUCAUCAUGAGAUAUGCUUUUAAGUCCGGUUCUAGCUUUUCUGGUGUGUUGGGGUGCCCUGGACUGGGCGAAGUGGGAGUGCUGGGUUCUGAUGAUGGUGAGUGGUCUUAGUUUCUGUUAGUAAGAUUCUUAAGUUUACCUUUCCCCAUCUGGUAAUCUCUGGAGUUAGUUGUUAUAGUUGUCUCUGUUUAGAGAUUGUUCCUCUGGUGUUUCUGUUAACCUCUAUCAGCUGACCUGGGAGACUAUAUCUCUCCUCUGAGUUUCAGUGGUCAGAGCACUCUUUGCAGGCAACCUCUCCUCUUACAGGGAAGGUGCACAGAUAUCUGGAGUUUGGACUUCCCUCCUGGCCGAAGAUGAAGGCCCAAAACAGGACCUUUCCCAAAGGUUGUGUUGCUUUGGCCUGUCAUAGAAGCUGUUAGCUUCUGUAGUGCACACUCUCACCUGUGCAGACUACUUUCGGCGGAGUCCCGGAACUAAGAUGGCUCCCGCUAAUCCUGAGGCAAUGCUCUCCCUGGCCAGGCAGACACCUGUCCUCAGGCCCGGAGGUGGCUGGAUGUCUGGAGCCUGAAAAGGGUGCUGCCUCAGAAGCUCUGUGGCUCCAGCCUGUCCCAGAAGCUGUUAGCUUCUAUAGUGCACACUCUCACCUGUGCAGACUACUUUCGCCAGAGUCCUGGAACCAAGAUUGCUCCCACCAAUCCUCGGUAAUAUUUUUAAAAGAAAAUAUUUGCUUCCCUACCACAACAUACUGCCUCACAAUCCCCAAAGUUUACAUUGUUGAAUUGUAUAUUAUUACACUCCUUAAAGAAUUGUGGCACAAUGUCUGUGACUGAAAGCUCAAGAUGUCAUUCCACUGCAAGAUUUGUUGAUCAUUACCUUAUAAUUACUCUAAUCCAUUCAUGAAGAACAGUUACAAAAGUGCUUUGUGCAAUGCUAUUACCAUUUAACGACAUACAAGGUCUUCUAAGUGGUUCAUAUUAAAUGAAACAACAUUCAUAUGAAUGUAUAAAUUCAGAUAAAGACCAAAUAAUGACAUCUUAUGAGAGCCAUAUCUUAUGCAUAGUUUAUCAACACAAAAGUUAAUGAGUUGCUAUUAGUUACAAACAUAAGGGUAAUGGAUUGUACAUGAAAAAUUCAAGAAUCUACCUUACAUUAAAAAAAUGAUGAUUAAGGCUAUCCUAUGCAAAGCACUGAGAAAUUGGGGUGUUCAUUACAUUGAGAUAAAAUGAAAUUAAGAACAAAAUAGCAGAAACCUGUAUUAAAAGAAAGUUCUUGGUUGUGAGCCUAGCCUUUAACGGCUGAGCCAUCUAAAUGAGCUAAAUACCUAAUAAAAAAUGG
rnacentral:lncRNA from 1 species